CCAGACGGCUGGACGGUCGCUGGUGGGUUGCCGCCAGAGGAAAGUCCGGGCUCCACGGGAAUACGGUGCCGGCUAACAGCCGGCGGGGGUGACCCCAGGGAUAGUGCCACAGAAAGCAAACCGCCAUGGCUUGCCAUGGUAAGGGUGAAAGGGUGCGGUAAGAGCGCACCGCCUCGCCGGUAACGGGGAGGGCGCGGAAAACCCCACCGGGAGCAAAACCGAAUAGGGGCGGCCGGCGUCCUGCGGCAACGCAGGGGCGCGAAGCUAUUUCCGGCUUGCCGCCCGGGUUGGUUGCUUGAGGCGGGUGGUAACAUCCGUCCCAGAGGAAUGGCCGUCCAAUGCCCGUUCGCGGGUGUGGACAGAACCCGGCUUACAGGCCGUCUGGAUCU
rnacentral:RNase_P_RNA from 1 species